rnacentral:rRNA from 1 species
AGGGAGCUUGACUGUGAGACCGACGGGUUGAGCAGGGACGAAAGUCGGGACUAGUGAUCCGGCGGUGGCUUGUGGAAGCGCCGUCGCUCAACGGAUAAAAGGUACCCCGGGGAUAACAGGCUGAUCUUCCCCAAGAGUCCAUAUCGACGGGAUGGUUUGGCACCUCGAUGUCGGCUCGUCGCAUCCUGGGGCUGGAGUCGGUCCCAAGGGUUGGGCUGUUCGCCCAUUAAAGCGGUACGCGAGCUGGGUUUAGAACGUCGUGAGACAGUUCGGUCCCUAUCCGCUGUGCGCGUAGGAGUCUUGAGAAGGGCUGUCCCUAGUACGAGAGGACCGGGACGGACGAACCUCUGGUGUGCCAGUUGUUCUGCCAAGGGCAUGGCUGGUUGGCUACGUUCUGGAGGGAUAACCGCUGAAAGCAUCUAAGCGGGAAGCCUGCUUCGAGAUGAGGACUCCCACCUCCUAGAGAGGGUAAGGCUCCCAGUAGACGACUGGGUUGAUAGGCCGGAUAUGGAAGCACGGUAACGUGUGGAGUUGACCGGUACUAAUAGGCCGAGGGCUUGUCCUC